rfam:Brassica rapa chromosome A3, whole genome shotgun sequence.
CGUGUAAUAUGUCCGAUCAGAUAAAAUCAGAAUGAUACAUAGAAGAUUAGUAUGGUCCAUGCACAAAGAUGACACACACAAAUCGAGAAAUUGUCUAAAUUUUG